rnacentral:rRNA from 1 species
UACGUAGGGGGCAAGCGUUGUCCGGAUUUAUUGGGCGUAAAGAGCGUGUAGGCGGCCAGAUAGGUCAGCUGUGAAAACUCGAGGCUCAACCUCGAGACGUCGGUUGAAACCAUCUGGCUAGAGUCCGGAAGAGGAGAGUGGAAUUCCCGGUGUAGCGGUGAAAUGCGCAGAUAUCGGGAAGAACACCCGUGGCGAAGGCGGCUCUCUGGUACGUGACUGACGCUGAGACGCGAAAGCGUGGGGAGCAAACAGG